rnacentral:rRNA from 1 species
CACAUGCAAGUCGAGCGGAGAGAGGUAGCUUGCUACUGAUCUUAGCGGCGGACGGGUGAGUAAUGCUUAGGAAUCUGCCUAUUAGUGGGGGACAACAUCUCGAAAGGGAUGCUAAUACCGCAUACGUCCUACGGGAGAAAGCAGGGGAUCUUCGGACCUUGCGCUAAUAGAUGAGCCUAAGUCGGAUUAGCUAGUUGGUGGGGUAAAGGCCUACCAAGGCGACGAUCUGUAGCGGGUCUGAGAGGAUGAUCCGCCACACUGGGACUGAGACACGGCCCAGACUCCUACGGGAGGCAGCAGUGGGGAAUAUUGGACAAUGGGGGGAACCCUGAUCCAGCCAUGCCGCGUGUGUGAAGAAGGCCUUAUGGUUGUAAAGCACUUUAAGCGAGGAGGAGGCUACUUUAGUUAAUACCUAGAGAUAGUGGACGUUACUCGCAGAAUAAGCACCGGCUAACUCUGUGCCAGCAGCCGCGGUAAUACAGAGGGUGCAAGCGUUAAUCGGAUUUACUGGGCGUAAAGCGCGCGUAGGCGGCUAAUUAAGUCAAAUGUGAAAUCCCCGAGCUUAACUUGGGAAUUGCAUUCGAUACUGGUUAGCUAGAGUGUGGGAGAGGAUGGUAGAAUUCCAGGUGUAGCGGUGAAAUGCGUAGAGAUCUGGAGGAAUACCGAUGGCGAAGGCAGCCAUCUGGCCUAACACUGACGCUGAGGUGCGAAAGCAUGGGGAGCAAACAGGAUUAGAUACCCUGGUAGUCCAUGCCGUAAACGAUGUCUACUAGCCGUUGGGGCCUUUGAGGCUUUAGUGGCGCAGCUAACGCGAUAAGUAGACCGCCUGGGGAGUACGGUCGCAAGACUAAAACUCAAAUGAAUUGACGGGGGCCCGCACAAGCGGUGGAGCAUGUGGUUUAAUUCGAUGCAACGCGAAGAACCUUACCUGGCCUUGACAUAGUAAGAACUUUCCAGAGAUGGAUUGGUGCCUUCGGGAACUUACAUACAGGUGCUGCAUGGCUGUCGUCAGCUCGUGUCGUGAGAUGUUGGGUUAAGUCCCGCAACGAGCGCAACCCUUUUCCUUAUUUGCCAGCGAGUAAUGUCGGGAACUUUAAGGAUACUGCCAGUGACAA